rnacentral:lncRNA from 1 species
ACUCGUAUACUCCCAAAAAUCGAAAAAAACUUCUUACCACGCUCUUGGUGUUUUUGACUUAUCAAAACAUCCUCACCCGUGGAGAUUCCUAAACCAUGCCUCUGUGUUUAUAUUUGACAUCUUCAGCACCUCCGCAGAGCUCACAUCUCGCGAAAGAACUCCCGAAACAUAUCUCGAAUGAAACAUCUCACAAUCGAAGAAGGAUAUGAGACGACAACUCAUCACCUUCCUCCCCACUAUACACAAACUCAUAAAAGUACCAUUUGAUUAUCUUAUCAUAAAAAAAAGCCGCAGAGCGGCAGGGAUUCAAAGCCACACACGGCCAGUCCCGAAAUACAAAAUAAGGCCAUUCAAGGCCGAAAC